rnacentral:rRNA from 1 species
AUUGAACGCUGGCGGCAUGCUUUACGCAUGCAAGUCGAGCGGUAACAGGCCUUCGGGUGCUGACGAGUGGCGAACGGGUGAGUAAUGCAUCGGAACGUACCCAGAGGUGGGGGAUAACGCAGCGAAAGCUGUGCUAAUACCGCAUGUGAUCUGAGGAUGAAAGCGGGGGACCGAGCAGCAAUGUUUGGCCUCGCGCCUUUGGAGCGGCCGAUGUCGGAUUAGCUAGUUGGUGGGGUAAAGGCCUACCAAGGCGACGAUCCGUAGCUGGUCUGAGAGGACGACCAGCCACACUGGGACUGAGACACGGCCCAGACUCCUACGGGAGGCAGCAGUGGGGAAUUUUGGACAAUGGGCGCAAGCCUGAUCCAGCAAUGCCGCGUGCGGGAAGAAGGCCUUCGGGUUGUAAACCGCUUUUGGCAGGAACGAAACGGUGUCCGCUAAUACCGGGCGAUAAUGACGGUACCUGCAGAAUAAGCACCGGCUAACUACGUG